UACGUAGGGGGCAAGCGUUGUCCGGAUUUAUUGGGCGUAAAGCGCUCGCAGGCGGUUCGUUGCGUCGUGCGUGAAAGACCCCGGCUCAACUGGGGAGGGUCGUGCGAUACGGGCGAACUAGAGUACGGAAGAGGCGAGUGGAAUUCCUGGUGUAGCGGUGAAAUGCGCAGAUAUCAGGAGGAACACCGGUGGCGAAGGCGGGUCUCUGGGCCGAUACUGACGCUGAGGAGCGAAAGCGUGGGGAGCGAACAGG
rnacentral:rRNA from 1 species